rnacentral:rRNA from 1 species
UACGGAGGUUGCAAGCGUUAUCCGGAUUUAUUGGGUUUAAAGGGUGCGUAGGCGGGAGAAUAAGUCAGUGGUGAAAACCUGCAGCUUAACUGUAGAACUGCCAUUGAUACUGUUUUUCUUGAGUAUAGUUGAGGUGGGCGGAAUGUGUAGUGUAGCGGUGAAAUGCUUAGAUAUUACACAGAACACCGAUUGCGUAGGCAGCUCACUAAACUAAAACUGACGCUGAGGCACGAAAGCGUGGGGAUCAAACAGG